rnacentral:misc_RNA from 1 species
AGCCGUCUGGGUGCCGAGCUC